rnacentral:rRNA from 1 species
GACGAACGCUGGCGGCGUGCCUAAUACAUGCAAGUAGGACGCAGUUGCGAACGGGUGAGUAACGCGUAGGUAACUACCUAUUAGAGGGGGCUAACUAUUGGAAACGAUAGCUAAUACCGCAUACUAGUAGAUGGACCUGCGUUGUAUUAGGUAGUAGGUUGGGUAAUGGCCUACCUAGGCAACGAUACAUAGCCGACCCGGGAGGGUGAUCGGCCAAACUGGGAAUGGGACACGGCCCAAACUCCUACGGGAGGCAGCAGUAGGGGAACUUCGGCAAUGGGGGGAAACCUGGCCGCACAACGGCGCGGGAGUGAAGAAGGUUUUCGGAUCGUAAAGCUCUUUUGUUAAGGGAGCGGUACUUAACCAGAAAGGGACGGCUAACUACGUGCCAGCAGCCGCGGUAAUAC